rnacentral:lncRNA from 1 species
UGCCCUAUGGAAUCAGACUGGGUGCCCUAUGGGAUCACACUGGGUGCCCUAUGGGUUAUACUGGGUGCCCUAUGGGGUCACACUGGGUGCACUGUGGGAUCACACUGGGUGCCCUAUGGGGUCAUACUAGUUGCCAUAUGGGUUAAACUGGGUGCUAUUUGGGGUUAUACUGGUGCUAUUUGGGAUUAUACUGGGUGCCCUAUGGGAUCACACUGGGUGCACUGUGGGAUCAUACUGGGUGCACUGUGGGUUGUACAGGGUGCCCUAUGGGUUAUACUGGGUGCACUGUGGGAUCACACUGGGUGCCCCAUGGGGUCACACUGGAUGCCCUAUGGAAUCAGACUGGGUGCCCUAUGGGAUCACACUGGGUGCCCUAUGGGUUAUACUGAGUGUGCUAUGGGUUAUACUGGGCGCCCUAUGAGUUAUACUGGGUGCCCUAUGGGGUCACACUGGGUGC